UUGGAAAACAACAAACGAACAAUAAAAGGGAACAUAUUGAACCACUAAUGAAACACAGAAUGUGAUGCUUCUCGGGGACUUCAACACUGACCGGCUACCUUGCUAAGAAGAACUAGAAGAAUGUGCGUCUGAUUACAGAGAAGAACCUCACUUGGCUCAUUCCACCUAUGACAGAUGGUGUUCCUGUUUUGGAUUUGACGUCUCUCUUCCUCCCAAAUCUGAGGGAGAUGUCUUCAGUCCAUAUAACUGAGAUCCUGCCGUAUACAAUGGUGUUAAGAAAACAUUUGACAGUUGCACCAUUGCUGGUAAAGUAAUCUUAUUACAGCAAGCUUUUAUUAUAAUUCAUUCAUCAUAUUUCUCCUCUCCAACAUUUCUUUCUUUCUUUCUUUAUAUUUCUUUCUUUCUUUCUUUAUAACCCCUUUGUUCCGGCUGUAAGCAGUCUAACAAAGUGCUAUGGGACUAAACUAGGGCUGCAGCCAGGGGCGU